rnacentral:rRNA from 1 species
CGAGUGAAGCGGCAUCAGCUCAAAUUUGAAAUCUGGCUCUUUUAGGGUCCGAGUUGUAAUUUGCAGAGGGCGCUUUGGCGUUGGCAGCGGUCCAAGUUCCUUGGAACAGGACGUCACAGAGGGUGAGAAUCCCGUACGUGGUCGCUGGCCUUCGCCGUGUAAAGCCCCUUCGACGAGUCGAGUUGUUUGGGAAUGCAGCUCUAAAUGGGAGGUAAAUUUCUUCUAAAGCUAAAUACUGGCCAGAGACCGAUAGCGCACAAGUAGAGUGAUCGAAAGAUGAAAAGCACUUUGGAAAGAGAGUCAAAUAGCACGUGAAAUUGUUGAAAGGGAAGCGCUUGCAGCCAGACUUGCCUGUAGUUGCUCAUCCGGGCUUUUGCCCGGUGCACUCUUCUGCGGGCAGGCCAGCAUCAGUCUGGGCGGUUGGAUAAAGGCCUCUGUCAUGUACCUCCUUUCGGGGAGGCCUUAUAGGGGAGGCGUAAUGCAACCAGCCUGGACUGAGGUCCGCGCAUCUGCUAGGAUGCUGGCGUAAUGGCUGUAAGCGGCCCGUCUUGAAACACGGACCAAGGAGUCUAACAUCUAUGCGAGUGUUUGGGUGUCAAGCCCGAGCGCGUAAUGAAAGUGAACGGAGGUGGGAUCCCUUUAGGGUGCACCAUCGACCGAUCCUGAUGUCUUCGGAUGGAUUUGAGUAAGAGCAUGGCUGUUGGGACCCGAAAGAUGGUGAACUAUGCUUGAAUAGGGUGAAGCCAGAGGAAACUCUGGUGGAGGCUCGCAGCGGUUCUGACGUGCAAAUCGAUCGUCAAAUUUGGGCAUAGGGGCGAAAGACUAAUCGAACUAUCUAGUAGCUGGUUCCUGCCGAAGUUUCCCUCAGGAUAGCAGUAACGUAUUCAGUUUUAUGAGGUAAAGCGAAUGAUUAGAGGCCUGGGGGUUGAAACAACCUUCACCUAUUCUCAAACUUUAAAUAUGUAAGAAGUCCUUGUUACUUAAUUGAACGUGGACACUUGAAUGUACCGUUACUAGUGGGCCAUUUUUGGUAAGCAGAACUGGCGAUGCGGGAUGAACCGAACGCGGGGUUAAGGUGCCAGAAUAUACGCUCAUCAGACACCACAAAAGGUGUUAGUUCAUCUAGACAGCAGGACGGUGGCCAUGGAAGUCGGAAUCCGCUAAGGAGUGUGUAACAACUCACCUGCCGAAUGAACUAGCCCUGAAAAUGGAUGGCGCUCAAGCGUAUUACCCAUACCCCGCCGCCGGGGCAAGAUUUAAGCCCCGGCGAGUAGGCAGGCGUGGAGGCUCGUGACGA